AUUGAACGCUGGCGGCACGCCUAACACAUGCAAGUCGAGCGGUAGCAGGACCUGUAGCAAUACAGGUUGCUGACGAGCGGCGGACGGGUGAGGAAUACGUAGGAACCUGCCUUAUAGUGGGGGAUAACUAAGGGAAACUUUAGCUAAUACCGCAUAAUCUCGAGAGAGGAAAGCUGCCGCAAGGUGGCGCUAAAAGAGGGGCAUGCGUGCGAUUAGAGAGUUGGUGAGGUACGAGCUAACCAAGGCGAUGAGCGGUAACUGGUCUGAGAGGACGACCAGUCACACUGGGAGUGAGACACGGCCCAGACUCCUACGGGGGGCAGCAGUGGGGAACAUUGGAAAAUGGGGGAACCCUGAUCCAGCGAUGCCGCGUGAGUGAAGAAGGCCUUCGGGUCGUAAAGCCCUUUAGGUUGGGAAGAAGGGUGUUAGAGGAAAUGCUAAUACUUUGACGGUACCGACAGAAUAAGCACCGGCAAACUCUGUGCCAGCAGCCGCGGUAA
rnacentral:rRNA from 1 species